GCCCGAGUGGCGGAAUGGCAGACGCAGUGGACUCAAAAUCCACCGGGGGCAACCCCGUGCGAGUUCGAAUCUCGCCUCGGGCA
rnacentral:tRNA from 2 species